UCCUUCGGUGGCUCAAUGGCAGAGCGCCUGACCAGCAAUCAGGGGUCGUAGGUUCGAGUCCUGCUCGAGGAG